CGCGGCCUAUCAGCUUGUUGGUGGGGUAACGGCCUACCAAGGCGACGAUGCGUAGCCGACCUGAGAGGGUGAUCGGCCACACUGGGGCUGAGACACGGCCCAGACUCCUACGGGAGGCAGCAGUAGGGAAUAUUCCGCAAUGGGCGAAAGCCUGACGGAGCGACGCCGCGUGAGCGAUGAAGGUCUUCGGAUCGUAAAGCUCUGUUGUUAGGGAAGAACAAGUACCGGAGUAACUGCCGGUACCUUGACGGUACCUAACCAGAAAGCCCCAGCUAACUACGUGCCAGCAGCCGCGGUAAUACGUAGGGGGCGAGCGUUGUCCGGAAUUAUUGGGCGUAAAGGGCGCGUAGGCGGUCUCUUAAGUCUGAUGUGAAAGCCCCCGGCUUAACCGGGGAGGGUCAUUGGAAACUGGGAGACUUGAGUGCAGGAGAGGGAAGCGGAAUUCCAUGUGUAGCGGUGAAAUGCGUAGAGAUAUGGAGGAACACCGGUGGCGAAGGCGGCUUCCUGGCCUGUAACUGACGCUGAGGCGCGAAAGCGUGGGGAGCAAACAGAAUUAGAUACCCUGGUAGUCCACGCCGUAAACGAUGAGUGCUAGGUGUUAGGGAGUUUCCACUCCUUAGUGCUGCAGUUAACGCAUUAAGCACCCCGCCUGGGAGUACG
rnacentral:rRNA from 1 species